rnacentral:misc_RNA from 1 species
GAUGAAGAACGUAGCGAAAUGCGAUACGUAAUGUGAAUUGCAGAUUUCAGUGAAUCAUCGAAUCUUUGAACGCACAUUGCGCCCGCCAGUAUUCUGGCGGGCAUGUCUGUUCGAGCGUCAUUUCAACCAUCAAGCGCCUGCGCUUGUGUUGGAGCCCUGCGGCUGCCGCAGGCUCUCAAACCCUGUGGCGGGCUCGUCGUCGUACCGAGUGCAGUAAAUUUACCACGCUCAGGGCACGCGACGGGUGACCGGCCGUAAAACCCCCAUCUUCUCAAGGUUGACCUCGGAUCAGGUAGGAAUACCCGCUGAACUUAAGCAUAUCAAUAAGCGGAGGA